rnacentral:rRNA from 1 species
CUACGGGUGGCAGCAGUGGGGAAUAUUGGACAAUGGGGGAAACCCUGAUCCAGCAAUGCCGCGUGUGUGAAGAAGGCCUGCGGGUUGUAAAGCACUUUCGGUUGGGAGGACUGCUUCUAGCACUAAUAUUGUUGGAAGUUGACGUUACCUUCAGAAUAAGCACCGGCUAACUCCGUGCCAGCAGCCGCGGGUAAUACGGAGGGUGCAAGCGUUAAUCGGAAUUACUGGGCGUAAAGCGCGCGUAGGCGGCUAGAUCAGUCGGGUGUGAAAGCCCCGGGCUUAACCUGGGAACUGCAUCCGAUACUGUCUAGCUUGAGUACAGGAGAGGAGAGUGGAAUUCCACAUGUAGCGGUGAAAUGCGUAGAUAUGUGGAGGAACACCAAUGGCGAAGGCAGCUCUCUGGCCUGAUACUGACGCUGAGGUGCGAAAGCGUGGGGAGCAAACAGGAUUAGAUACCCGCGUAGUC